rnacentral:rRNA from 1 species
UAUGGUAUGCCAGCAGCCGCGGUAAUACGUAGGUGGCGAGCGUUGUCCGGACUUAUUGGGCGUAAAGAGCAUGUAGGCGGCUUAAUAAGUCGAGCGUGAAAAUGCGGGGCUCAACCCCGUAUGGCGCUGGAAACUGUUAGGCUUGAGUGCAGGAGAGGAAAGGGGAAUUCCCAGUGUAGCGGUGAAAUGCGUAGAUAUUGGGAGGAACACCAGUGGCGAAGGCGCCUUUCUGGACUGUGUCUGACGCUGAGAUGCGAAAGCCAGGGUAGCGAACGGG